GAACACCAGAGGCGAAAGCGGUUUCCAAGGCUGUUACUGACGCUGAGGCUCGAAAGCGUGGGGAGCAAACAGGCUUAAAUACCCUGGUAGUCCACGCCAUAAACGAUGGAUACUAGGUAUAGGGAGUUUCGACCCUCUCUGUGCCGAACCUAACGCUUUAAGUAUCCGGCCUGGGGAAUACGGUCGCAAGAUUAAAACUCAAAGGAAUUGACGGGGGCCCGCACAAGCAGCCGAAGCGCGUCGUUUAAUUCGAUGCAACACGAAAAACCUUACCUAGGCUUGAGAUGUUGGAAGUAGUGAACCGAAAGGGGAACGAACUGUUAAAUCAGUAACCUUCACAGGUGCUGCAUGGCUGUCGUUAGCUCGUGCCGCAGGUGUUUUGGUUAAGUUCUGCAACGAGCGCAUGCCUUAUUUUAGUUGUUUCUGUAAUCCGAGGACUGCCCCUGCAAAAA
rnacentral:rRNA from 1 species